AUGCAUAAGGAACAAUUCAGUGCUGCAAUCACUCGGAAUUCCUGCACUAUCAACACUUUUUGCAGCCAAACCUGUCAUUUCACCUGGAAAAAAAAUCCCAAGCAUAGUUCUGAUGAUUCUGAAGCUGAGUACCAUCCUAACGAGGACAAUACCAGUGAAGGAGAGUCAUCCAAUGAUAGUUUAGUAGAUGAAACAGAAGCACUGCAGUCCACACCUGCUGCUAGCUCAAACUCUAAGGGCUGUAAGAAGACUAGUCAGAAAACUAGCAAGAAAAGAUCUGCGGCCAUGCCCCCUAGUGGAGGCAAGCCUCGGCCUCCUAAGAGAGUUCAUGCGGACAUCCCUACUAAUUCGCGAGUCACAGGGUCAAAGAAAGCUCUAUUACAAGAUGCUGAUGCAAGUACUCAAAGUGAGGAGAUGUUGGAUCCUAAAUAUCAGACACCAAGUGUCAUCGAUAAGCCAACUACUUCUGUGGCUUGUGCCCGCCAAGCUGAAGAAAUUAUUCCCAACUUUGAUGACCAUGGUGUUGAAGAUGAUGACCCUGCACAUUGUGAUGAUGACAACUGGAUUGCCAAUGGAGCUGAUCUUAUUGCCCAUCGUGAUGACGACAAUGAGAUGGCCAACGAAGCUGGUGGUAGUGGUCACAAUGAGAUGGCCACCGAAGCUGGUGGUAGUGCCCAACCAAAUCAGGAAACCCAACCUAAUAAUAACUCUGAAGGUCCACAAUCCUAUGAAGAGCCAGGGGAAAGGGGCCCCAAUUUGGGAAAAGGCCUGGAAAGGAUCACUCGAUGCCAGUAG
rnacentral:rRNA from 1 species